CGGAGGACAAGAAACUAAACAGGAUCCCCAUAGUAAUGGCGAAUGAACCGGGAUAAACUCAGCAUGGAAAUUGGGGCCUUUGGCUUUGACUUGUAAUCUGGUGAGGCAUUGCCAACAGAGGCGCAUAUGUAAGUCUCUUGGAAAAGAGCAUCAACGAAGGUGAGAGUCCUGAUUGUCAUGUGCAGCCCCCCUGUGCACGGUGUGCCUUCUAAGAGUCACGUUCCUUGGGAUUGGAGCGCAAAUUGGGUGGUAACUUUCAUCUGAAGUUAAACAAUGGUUUGGGACCGAUAGGAAACAAGUACCAUGAGGGAAAGGUGAAAAGGACUUUGGAAAGAGAGUUAAAAGUGCCUGAAAUUGCUGAAGGGGAAGCGAAUGGAACCAGUGGUGCUGGGUGAGAUUGUCACAUGCUGCAAGGAUUGGUUGCUGCCACAACGCAAGUGUGCUGGCAAUUUGUGAGCUGCUAGCGUGUGGUGUGUCUUUGUUGUUAUGCUUGAGGGGGCUUAGAGCGAUCUUGUUAAAAUGGUUUUUACGACUCGUCUUGAAACACGGACCAAGG
rnacentral:rRNA from 1 species